rnacentral:rRNA from 1 species
UACAGAGGGGGCGAGCGUUGUUCGGAAUUACUGGGCGUAAAGGGCGCGUAGGCGGCCCGCUAAGUCGAACGUGAAAUCCCCAGGCUCAACCUGGGAACUGCGUCCGAUACUGGCAGGCUUGAAUCCGGGAGAGGGAUGUGGAAUUCUAGGUGUAGCGGUGAAAUGCGUAGAUAUCUGGAGGAACACCGGUGGCGAAGGCGGCAUCCUGGACCGGUAUUGACGCUGAGGCGCGAAAGCUAGGGGAGCAAACGGG